rnacentral:rRNA from 1 species
UACGUAGGGGGCGAGCGUUGUCCGAAGUUACUGGGCGUAAAGAGUACGUAGGUGGCUUGUUAAGAUACAUCUGAAAGGUGACAGCUCAACUGUCAAUGGUGGUGUAAGACUGGCAGGCUUGAGGCAAGCAGAAGAGUGUGGAACUCCGAGUGUAGCGGUGGAAUGCGUAGAGAUUCGGAAGAACACCCAUGGCGAAGGCGACUUACUGGACACAUAUUGACGCUGAGGUGCGAAAGCGUGGGGAGCAAACAGG